rnacentral:rRNA from 1 species
UACGAACUGUGCGAACGUUAUUCGGAAUCACUGGGCUUAAAGGGUGCGUAGGCGGUUCUCUAAGUCAGGUGUGAAAUCUCUCGGCUCAACCGGGAAACUGCGCCUGAUACUGGAGGACUGGAGUGAGGCAGGGGUGUGUGGAACUUCCGGUGGAGCGGUGAAAUGUGUAGAUAUCGGAAGGAACGCCAGCAGCGAAAGCGGCACACUGGGCCUUUUCUGACGCUGAGGCACGAAAGCCAGGGGAGCGAAC